rnacentral:tRNA from 1 species
GCCCGUGUAGCGCAAUUGGUAGGAGGCAGCACAUUCAAAACGUGCACAGUGUGGGUUCAAAUCCCUCCACGGGUA